rnacentral:misc_RNA from 1 species
UGUGGAGAUGCAGAUGAGA